UCCAGUGAUUAUGGCAGAAGGGAAACACCUGUAUCCAUACCGAACACAGAAGUUAAGCCUUCUAACGCCGAUGAUACUUAGGUGGAAGCACCUUGGGAAAGUAGGACGUCGCUGGGU
rfam:[Clostridium] purinilyticum strain DSM 1384 CLPT_23c, whole genome shotgun sequence.